GUGACGGGCCGUGACUGGCGCGCUGGGAUGGGACCGACCAUCGGGGAGCGGCCCGAGCGACUGAGUGCCGUGCGCCUGGGCCGUACCG
rnacentral:ncRNA from 2 species